rnacentral:rRNA from 1 species
CAUCUCUUUAUGAAUAAUAAUUUAAGGUUUAAUCUGCUCAAUGAUAAUUUUAAAUUGCCGCGGUAAAUUAACUGUGCAAAGGUAGCAUAAUAAAUUGUUUUUUUAUUGAAAACUUGAAUGAAUGAUUGGACAAAAAAUUUUCUGUCUCAAUAUAAGUAUUUUUAAUUUUACUUUAAAGUAAAAAGGCUUUUAUUUUUUUAAGGGACGAGAAGACCCUAUAGAGUUUUAUUUAGUUUUAUUUAUUAAGUUUAUAUAAUUAAUGUUAUUAUUUAAAGUUGAGUUUAACUGGGGUUGUUGAUUAAUUAAUUAAAAUUUAUUAGUUUAUAUCAUUGAUUUAUGAUUAUUUUAUAUUUAUUUUUGAAAUUAUAUUAAAUUACCUUAGGGAUAACAGCGUAAUCUUUAUUUGAAGUUCAUAUUUAAAUAAGGGAUUUCGACCUCGAUGUUGGAUUAAAAUUUAUAUUUAGUGGAGAUAUUAAAUUAUUUAGUCUGUUCGACUAUUAAAAUUUUACAUGAUCUGAGU